GUGAGAGCGAUCUGGCUGCGACAUCUGUCACCCCAUUGAUCACCAGGGUUGAUUAGGUUGGUCUGGCUGGCUGGGUGGGUGUCCCCUUCCUCCCUCACUACUCCAUGUGUGUCUCUCCUGAAGCUGUACGCUCGGUCAAAGAGGACGGUCUUCCCCGAUUAGAGAUGGAUCAGGCUUCGGCCGAGGGUAUAGCUGCGCUCCCCUGCUAGAACCUCUGAACAAGCUCUCAAGAUAUGCAUCUAUAAAAAAAAAUAAUAAGUAACUUAUGAUCCAGCAGUGCU
rfam:Erinaceus europaeus unplaced genomic scaffold scaffold00202, whole genome shotgun sequence